rnacentral:rRNA from 1 species
AUAGGGUCAAGUGAAUAAGUGCAUCAGGCGGAUGCCUUGGCGAUGAUAGGCGACGAAGGACGUGUAAGCCUGCGAAAAGCGCGGGGGAGCUGGCAAUAAAGCUAUGAUUCCGCGAUGUCCGAAUGGGGAAACCCACUGCAUUCUGUGCAGUAUCCUAAGUUGAAUACAUAGGCUUAGAGAAGCGAACCCGGAGAACUGAACCAUCUAAGUACCCGGAGGAAAAGAAAUCAACCGAGAUUCCGCAAGUAGUGGCGAGCGAACGCGGAGGAGCCUGUACGUAAUAACUGUCGAGAUAGAAGAACAAGCUGGGAAGCUUGACCAUAGCGGGCGACAGUCCCGUAUUCGAAAUCUCAACAGCGGUACUAAGCGUACGAAAAGUAGGGCGGGACACGUGAAAUCCUGUCUGAAUAUGGGGGGACCAUCCUCCAAGGCUAAAUACUCAUCAUCGACCGAUAGUGAACCAGUACCGUGAGGGAAAGGCGAAAAGAACCCCGGGAGGGGAGUGAAACAGAACCUGAAACCUGAUGCAUACAAACAGUGGGAGCGCCCUAGUGGUGUGACUGCGUACCUUUUGUAUAAUGGGUCAACGACUUACAUUCAGUAGCGAGCUUAACCGGAUAGGGGAGGCGUAGGGAAACCGAGUCUUAAUAGGGCGAUGAGUUGCUGGGUGUAGACCCGAAACCGAGUGAUCUAUCCAUGGUCAGGUUGAAGGUGCCGUAACAGGUACUGGAGGACCGAACCCACGCAUGUUGCAAAAUGCGGGGAUGAGCUGUGGGUAGGGGUGAAAGGCUAAACAAACUCGGAGAUAGCUGGUUCUCCCCGAAAACUAUUUAGGUAGUGCCUCGAGCAAGACACUGAUGGGGGUAAAGCACUGUUAUGGCUAGGGGGUUAUUGCAACUUACCAACCCAUGGCAAACUCAGAAUACCAUCAAGUGGUUCCUCGGGAGACAGACAGCGGGUGCUAACGUCCGUUGUCAAGAGGGAAACAACCCAGACCGCCAGCUAAGGUCCCAAAUGAUAGAUUAAGUGGUAAACGAAGUGGGAAGGCACAGACAGCCAGGAUGUUGGCUUAGAAGCAGCCAUCAUUUAAAGAAAGCGUAAUAGCUCACUGGUCGAGUCGUCCUGCGCGGAAGAUGUAACGGGGCUCAAAUCUAUAACCGAAGCUGCGGAUGCCGGUUUACCGGCAUGGUAGGGGAGCGUUCUGUAGGCUGAUGAAGGUGCAUUGUAAAGUGUGCUGGAGGUAUCAGAAGUGCGAAUGUUGACAUGAGUAGCGAUAAAGCGGGUGAAAAGCCCGCUCGCCGAAAAGCCCAAGGUUUCCUACGCAACGUUCAUCGGCGUAGGGUAAGUCGGCACCUAAGGCGAGGCAGAAAUGCGUAGUCGAUGGGAAACAGGUUAAUAUUCCUGUACUUGAUUCAAAUGCGAUGUGGGGACGGAGAAGGUUAGGUUGGCAAGCUGUUGGAAUAGCUUGUUUAAGCCGGUAGGUGGAAGACUUAGGCAAAUCCGGGUUUUCUUAACACCGAGAAGUGAUGACGAGUGUCUACGGACACGAAGCAACCGAUACCACGCUUCCAGGAAAAGCCACUAAGCUUCAGUUUGAAUCGAACCGUACCGCAAACCGACACAGGUGGGCAGGAUGAGAAUUCUAAGGCGCUUGAGAGAACUCGGGAGAAGGAACUCGGCAAAUUGAUACCGUAACUUCGGGAGAAGGUAUGCCCUCUAAGGUUAAGGACUUGCUCCGUAAGCCCCGGAGGGUCGCAGAGAAUAGGUGGCUGCGACUGUUUAUUAAAAACACAGCACUCUGCCAACACGAAAGUGGACGUAUAGGGUGUGACGCCUGCCCGGUGCCGGAAGGUUAAUUGAAGAUGUGCAAGCAUCGGAUCGAAGCCCCGGUAAACGGCGGCCGUAACUAUAACGGUCCUAAGGUAGCGAAAUUCCUUGUCGGGUAAGUUCCGACCCGCACGAAUGGCGUAACGAUGGCCACACUGUCUCCUCCCGAGACUCAGCGAAGUUGAAGUGGUUGUGAAGAUGCAAUCUACCCGCUGCUAGACGGAAAGACCCCGUGAACCUUUACUGUAGCUUUGCAUUGGACUUUGAAGUCACUUGUGUAGGAUAGGUGGGAGGCUUGGAAGCAGAGACGCCAGUCUCUGUGGAGUCGUCCUUGAAAUACCACCCUGGUGUCUUUGAGGUUCUAACCCAGACCCGUCAUCCGGGUCGGGGACCGUGCAUGGUAGGCAGUUUGACUGGGGCGGUCUCCUCCCAAAGCGUAACGGAGGAGUUCGAAGGUUACCUAGGUCCGGUCGGAAAUCGGACUGAUAGUGCAAUGGCAAAAGGUAGCUUAACUGCGAGACCGACAAGUCGGGCAGGUGCGAAAGCAGGACAUAGUGAUCCGGUGGUUCUGUAUGGAAGGGCCAUCGCUCAACGGAUAAAAGGUACUCCGGGGAUAACAGGCUGAUUCCGCCCAAGAGUUCAUAUCGACGGCGGAGUUUGGCACCUCGAUGUCGGCUCAUCACAUCCUGGGGCUGUAGUCGGUCCCAAGGGUAUGGCUGUUCGCCAUUUAAAGUGGUACGUGAGCUGGGUUUAAAACGUCGUGAGACAGUUUGGUCCCUAUCUGCAGUGGGCGUUGGAAGUUUGACGGGGGCUGCUCCUAGUACGAGAGGACCGGAGUGGACGAACCUCUGGUGUACCGGUUGUAACGCCAGUUGCAUAGCCGGGUAGCUAAGUUCGGAAGAGAUAAGCGCUGAAAGCAUCUAAGCGCGAAACUCGCCUGAAGAUGAGACUUCCCUUGCGGUUUAACCGCACUAAAGGGUCGUUCGAGACCAGGACGUUGAUAGGUGGGGUGUGGAAGCGCGGUAACGCGUGAAGCUAACCCAUACUAAUUGCCCGUGAGGCUUGACUCUAU